rnacentral:antisense_RNA from 1 species
CUUGAUCGAGCCGAGCCACAGCGGCUCGUCACCCGAGCGCUCCUGGCCGUAGGUGGCCAGCAGGGCCUGCGCCUC